rnacentral:lncRNA from 1 species
CGCGUGCAGCGCGAGCACGGGCUCGAGGCUCGAUAACGGAGCGGAAUUAGUCAAGAGAGGGUGGAGAGGAGAAACAGAGUUUACUACGCGAAGGCUCUUAGGCUCUUAGGUUCUUAGGCCGAGGUGGACGUGGCUUGGCCGAUGCCUCAAGUCUACUCGUACUGGUCAGGAAGAGAAAAUAAAUGUCAACAGCAGGCAGCUUGUUACCCAGUUAGAUUACAUAAAUUAGUCAGCUUCUUACUGCAGCAGCAUUGUGAUGCAAAGACAAAGGAGCAAACUUGUGGGAGGCCUCCGAGGAAGACUACUGUUGCUAUGUGAACAGGCAUGGCUGGCAACGGAACAGACUUCCACGCCCCUCAUUGGUGCCACCACCUCUGACAGCAUGGCCAAGGCAGGACACUGCAGAGCUACAGCAUCUGCAGGUGUCGUUGACGAGUGAAUACAGGCUUUGCAAUAAGCCAGCAGCAAUACUGAGAUUGCAAGACUCAAGGCAGCAGUGAGGGCUGGAUCA